ACACAUGCAAGUCUGACACGCGAGCCCAGGGAGUGCAACUCCUGGUCAUGUGGCGAACUGGGUGAGUAAUGCAUCAGGAACGUGUCCUUGAGUGGGUGGAUAACCCUGGUCGAAAGCCGGACUAAGUACCGCACUAUCGCUCUACGAGAGAGAAAGCGGGGCGACCCGAAAGGGCCUCGCGCAUGAAGGGGCGGCCGAUGAUCCGAUUAUCUUGUUGGUGUGUGGUAAUGGACACGUACCAAGGCGAUCGAUCGGUAUNCUGGCUCUGAGAGGAUAGAUCAGCCACACUGGGACUGAGACACGGCCCACACUCCUACGGGANGCAGNAGUGGGGAAUUUUGCGACAAUGGGGGCAACCCUAUCCAUCCAUGCCGCGUGCGGGAAGAANGCCUUCGGGUUGUAAACCGCUUUUAGUCCNGAAAGAANAGGCGGAGGUAAUACCCUCCGUUCUUGACGGUACCGGCGGAAUAAGCACCGGCUAACUACGUGCCAUCAGACCGCGGUAAUACGUAGGGUGCGAGCGUUAAUCGGAAUUACUGGNCGUCAAAGCGUGANGUAGGCUGUUUCGCUGUGUCCUGUGUGAAAGCCCCGGGCUUAACCUGGGAAAUUGCAUGGGAAACUGGCGGGCUUGAGNUAGUGGCAAAGGGGGGGCUGGAAUCCUGCGUUUAGCAAGUUGAAAUGCGUAGAAGAUCGGGAGGAACAACCGAUGGCGGAAGGCAGCCCCCCCUUGGGCCAACACUGACGCUCAGGCACGAAAGCGUGGGGAGCCAAACAGGAUUUAGAUACCCCUGGUAGUCCACGCCCUAAACGAUGUCGACUGGGUGUUGGGGAAGCGAUUCCUUGGUACCGUAGCUAACGCGUGAAGUCGACCGCCUGGGGAGUACGGCCGCAAGGUUAAAACUCAAAGGAAUUGACGGGGACCCGCACAAGCGGUGGAUGAUGUGGAUUAAUUCGAUGCAACGCGAACAACCUUACCUACCCUUGACAUGUCCGGAAGGCCGCUGAGAGGUGGUUGUGCCCGAAAGGGAACCGGAACACAGGUGCUGCAUGGCUGUCGUCAGCUCGUGUCGUGAGAUGUUGGGUUAAGUCCCGCAACGAGCGCAACCCUUGUCCCUAGUUGCUACGCAAGGGCACUCUAGGGAGACUGCCGGUGACAAACCGGAGGAAGGUGGGGAUGACGUCAAGUCCUCAUGGCCCUUAUGGGUAGGGCUUCACACGUCAUACAAUGGACGGUACAACGGGCUGCCAACCCGCGAGGGGGAGCCAAUCCCGCAAAGCCGUUCGUAGUCCGGAUCGCAGUCUGCAACUCGACUGCGUGAAGUCGGAAUCGCUAGUAAUCGCGGAUCAGCAUGCCGCGGUGAAUACGUUCCCGGGUCUUGUACACACCGCCCGUCACACCAUGGGAGUGGGUUCUACCAGAAGUGGGUAGGCUAACCCGCAAGGGAUGCCGCUUACCACGGUAGGAUUCAUGACUGGGGUGAAGUCGUACAAGGUAGCCGUAUCGGAAGGUGCGGCUGGAUCACCUCCU
rnacentral:rRNA from 1 species